rnacentral:misc_RNA from 1 species
ACUGCGGAGAUCAUUAUCAACAGCGGGCGAGGCCUGGCCUCCCCGCGCACCUUCUCAUCCCCUUGUGGUGUACCCAUUCGUUUCCUCGGCAGGCUUGCCUGCCAGUAGGACACCCCCAUAAACCUUUUGCAGUGAGCAGUAUACGUCUGAUCAAAACCACAAAAUCGUUUACAACUUUCAACAAUGGAUCUCUUGGUUCUGGCAUCGAUGAAGAACGCAGCGAAAUGCGAUAAGUAGUGUGAAUUGCAGAAUUUAGCGAAUCAUCGAAUCUUUGAACGCACAUUGCGCCCCUUGGUAUUCCAUGGGGCAUGCCUGUUCGAGCGUCAUUUCAACCCUCAAGCAUUGCUUGGUGUUGGGCGUUUGUGCCCGCCGUCGCGCGGGGACUCGCCUCAAAGUCAUUGGCAGCUGUUUCCCCCCUUUCGGCUCGUAAGCGCAGCAAAGUCGGCGCCCGGAGCCUUUGGAGGACAGCGUCCACGAAGCCCAUUUUCAGUCUUGACCUCGGAUCAGGUAGGGAUACCCGCUGAACUUAAGCAUAUCAAUAA